rnacentral:rRNA from 1 species
UACGAAGGGGGCUAGCGUUGUUCGGAAUCACUGGGCGUAAAGCGUACGUAGGCGGAUGAAUAAGUCAGGGGUGAAAGCCUGGAGCUCAACUCCAGAACUGCCUUUGAUACUGUUUGUCUUGAGUCCGGGAGAGGUGAGUGGAACUGCUAGUGUAGAGGUGAAAUUCGUAGAUAUUAGCAAGAACACCAGUGGCGAAGGCGGCUCACUGGCCCGGUACUGACGCUGAGGUACGAAAGCGUGGGGAGCAAACAGG